rnacentral:rRNA from 1 species
CCUACGGGUGGCAGCAGUGGGGAAUAUUGGGCAAUGGGCGCAAGCCUGACCCAGCAACGCCGCGUGAAGGAAGAAGGCUUUCGGGUUGUAAACUUCUUUUGUCAGGGACGAAGCAAGUGACGGUACCUGACGAAUAAGCCACGGCUAACUACGUGCCAGCAGCCGCGGUAAUACGUAGGUGGCAAGCGUUAUCCGGAUUUACUGGGUGUAAAGGGCGUGUAGGCGGGACUGCAAGUCAGAUGUGAAAACCACGGGCUCAACCUGUGGCCUGCAUUUGAAACUGGGUAUCUUGAGGGCAGGAGUGGAAAGUGGAAUUCCUAGUGUAGCGGUGAAAUGCGUAGAUAUUAGGAGGAACACCAGUGGCGAAGGCGACUUUCUGGACUGUACCUGACGCUGAGGCGCGAAAGCGUGGGUAGCGAACGGGAUUAGAUACCCUUGUAGUC